CCUACGGGAGGCAGCAGUGGGGGAUAUUGCACAAUGGGGGAAACCCUGAUGCAGCGACGCCGCGUGGGUGAAGAAGCGCCUCGGCGCGUAAAGCCCUGUCAGCAGGGAAGAAAAUGUCGGUACCUGAAGAAGAAGCCCCGGCUAACUACGUGCCAGCAGCCGCGGUAAUACGUAGGGGGCAAGCGUUAUCCGGAUUUACUGGGUGUAAAGGGGGCGCAGACGGCGAUGCAAGCCAGGAGUGAAAGCCCGGGGCCCAACCCCGGGACUGCUCUUGGAACUGCGUGGCUAGAGUGCAGGAGGGGCAGGCGGAAUUCGUGGUGUAGCGGUGAAAUGCGUAGAUAUCAGGAGGAACACCGGUGGCGAAGGCGGCCUGCUGGACUGCAACUGACGUUGAGGCCCGAAAGCGUGGGGAGCAAACAGGAUUAGAUACCCCAGUAGUC
rnacentral:rRNA from 1 species